GCUGGGCGUGGUGGCGCCUACCUGUAAUCCCAGCACUGGGGAAGCUGAGGCAGGAGAAUCGCUUGAACCCAGGAGCUGGAGGCUGCAGUGAGCCGAGAUUGUGCCACUGCACUCCAGCCUGGGUGACAGUGUGAGACCCUGUCUCAA
rnacentral:SRP_RNA from 1 species